UGCCUCAGUAACGGCGAGUGAAGCGGCAACAGCUCAAAUUUGAAAUCUGGCCGCAAGGUCCGAGUUGUAAUUUGCAGAGGAUGCUUUUGGCGAGGUGCCUUCCGAGUUCCCUGGAACGGGACGCCAUAGAGGGUGAGAGCCCCGUACGGUAGGACCACCGAGCCUUUGUAAAGCUCCUUCGACGAGUCGAGUAGUUUGGGAAUGCUGCUCUAAAUGGGAGGUGUACGUCUUCUAAAGCUAAAUACCGGCCAGAGACCGAUAGCGCACAAGUAGAGUGAUCGAAAGAUGAAAAGCACUUUGAAAAGAGGGUUAAAAAGUACGUGAAAUUGUUGAAAGGGAAGCAUUCAUGACCAGACUUGGGCUUGGUUGAACAUCCGGCGUUCUCGCCGGUGCACUCUGCCAGUCCAGGCCAGCAUCAGUUUGCCCCGGGGGACAAAGGCGGUGGGAAUGUGGCUCUCUCCGGGGAGUGUUAUAGCCCGCCGUGUAAUGCCCUGGGGCGGACUGAGGAACGCGCUUCGGCUCGGAUGCUGGCGUAAUGGUCAUCAAUGACCCGUCUUGAAACACGGACCAAGGAGUCGUCUUCGUAUGCGAGUGUUCGGGUGUCAAACCCCUACGCGAAAUGAAAGUGAACGUAGGUGAGAGCUUCGGCGCAUCACCGACCG
rnacentral:rRNA from 1 species